rnacentral:lncRNA from 1 species
GUUUCUUUUUCGUAAAAAAUAUUUUUGUAGUCCAGGAGCUGUAAAUGUUUAGCUUAUUAUCUGAUAUAUGCAUGCAUGAAGAGAUGCCAUAAAGAUAAAUGUUUGAUUCUUAAAAAUAAAACAAGAUCAAUAAAACCUGAUGUGACCAGUCAAGGAAUUGGUAUGGUGAGUAUCACUAUAACAUUCACAAUAAUAAAUAUUUUUAUUAAACCAUAAUUAAUAAGAACUGUCGUAAGGGACUUGACCUUAAUUAUUGAUUAUGUUAUUCAGAGUUGUUCUGGACCUGCAGAGACAUACUGUCUGAUCACGUCUGUACCAGCCACAUCUCAGCCCAUAUCUGUAGGUGUUUUGGUUAAUAAACAACAGAAACAGGGAAAUCCGGAGGAAAAUGAGGUAUGUGUGAACACUGUCACACCCCAAAACCACAUAACCCUCCACCAUGAACAGAAUACUAACACAUUUAUUUCAUGUGUGUCCUUAAGAAUGUUUAUCACCUGUACUCCACAAUCCCUGACAAACCAGUUCACUACAAAACAGAAGAUCACAUGUACAGUUUGGUGAACAUGCACUGAUGAAUCUCUGGUUUCAUCAUGUACAGCCAUUAAAGUAUCUUUACUUGCAGAC